rnacentral:rRNA from 1 species
UACGGAAGGCAGCAGUGGGGAAUAUUGCACAAUGGGCGCAAGCCUGAUGCAGCCAUGCCGCGUGUAUGAAGAAGGCCUUCGGGUUGUAAAGUACUUUCAGUCGUGAGGAAGGUGUUAAGGUUAAUAACCUUAGCAAUUGACGCUAGCGACAGAAGAAACACCGGCUAACUCCGUGCCAGCAGCCGCGGUAAUACGGAGGGUGCGAGCGUUAAUCGGAAUUACUGGGCGUAAAGGGCACGCAGGCGGUUAAUUAAGUUGGAUGUGAAAUCCCCGGGCUUAACCUGGGAAUGGCAUUCAAGACUGGUUAGCUAGAGUCUUGUAGAGGGGGUAGAAUUCCAUGUGUAGCGGUGAAAUGCGUAGAGAUGUGGAGGAAUACCGGUGGCGAAGGCGGCCCCUGGACAAAGACUGACGCUCAUGUGCGAAAGCGUGGGGAGCAAACAGGGAUUAGAUACC